rnacentral:rRNA from 1 species
AGCAGCCGCGGUAAUUCCAGCUCCAAUAGCGUAUAUUAAAGUUGUUGCAGUUAAAAAGCUCGUAGUUGAAUUUCGGGGUUAGUAGGUUGGUCAUGCCUCUGGUAUGUACUGGUCUCACUGAUUCCUCCUUCCUGAUGAGCCGUAAUGCCAUUAAUUUGGUGUUGCGGGGAAUUUGGACUGUUACUUUGAAAAAAUUAGAGUGUUUAAAGCAAGCUAACGCUUGAAUACAUUAGCAUGGAAUAAUGAAAUAGGACGUUUGAUCCUAUUUUGUUGGUUUCUAGGAUCGACGUAAUGAUUAAUAGGGAUAGCUGGGGGCAUUAGUAUUCAAUUGUCAGAGGUGAAAUUCUUGGAUUUAUUGAAGACUAACUACUGCGAAAGCAUUUGCCAAGGAUGUUUUCAUUAAUCAAGAACGAAAGUUAGGGGAUCGAAGACGAUCAGAUACCGUCGUAGUCUUAACCAUAAACUAUGCCGACUAGGGAUCGGAUGAUGUUAAUUUUUUAAUGACUCAUUCGGCGCCUUACG